rnacentral:rRNA from 1 species
UCCUACGGGGGGCAGCAGUGAGGAAUAUUGGUCAAUGGGAGAGAUCCUGAACCAGCCAAGCCGCGUGAGGGAAGACGGCCCUAUGGGUUGUAAACCUCUUUUGUCGGAGAACAAAACCCGGGACGUGUCCCGGACUGCGUGUAUCCGAAGAAAAAGCAUCGGCUAACUCCGUGCCAGCAGCCGCGGUAAUACGGAGGAUGCGAGCGUUAUCCGGAUUUAUUGGGUUUAAAGGGUGCGUAGGCGGUCCGUUAAGUCAGCGGUAAAAUUGCGUGGCUCAACCCCGCCGAGCCGUUGAAACUGGCAGC